rnacentral:rRNA from 1 species
UACGGAGGGUGCAAGCGUUGUUCGGAUUCAUUGGGCGUAAAGGGUGCGUAGGUGGCGCUGUAAGUCAGGUGUGAAAUUUCGGAGCUUAACUCCGAAACUGCAUUUGAUACUGCGGUGCUUGAGGACUGGAGAGGAGACUGGAAUUCACGGUGUAGCAGUGAAAUGCGUAGAGAUCGUGAGGAAGACCAGUGGCGAAGGCGGGUCUCUGGACAGUUCCUGACACUGAGGCACGAAGGCCAGGGGAGCAAACGGG